rnacentral:lncRNA from 14 species
GCCCACCGAUGGAUUCCAACGCCUCACAUUUCUACCUAAAGCUGAAAACCAAAAGUUUUCGGCGGAUAGCUACAGAAGCGGAGCUCGGAAUUCGGUGACAACUAAACCCUUCACCGUCUCCACUGGCCACACGACAAGUGAAAGAAACAGCACCGACAGAAAAACGAAAAGAAAAAAAACAACCAAGAGCAACUUCUCGAUUGGACUGUCGUCUAAUGGAUAUAGAGAGGGAGAAAUGCGACGAAAAUAUCGAGUCCAAGGAGCCAGGAGACAAACAUGUUAAUUUUUUUUCUUUUUUCUUUUUUUUAUGUUCUUUUCACUUCAUUUUUUUUUUGUCCUUUUUAUUAAUUUUCAAUAAAUUUUUAAUGGUAAACA